CAUGGAGCCCGGCGCCCGCACUCGCAGCCCCGCGCUCGGCGCCGGCCGCGCCAUGGGGGAGGGGCGGGGCGGGCCGCGCGAGACCCGGGAAACAUGGCUGCUCGUCCUAUUUCGGCGUCGCGGCGUGGCCACCAGCCCCCGGAUCCGAGUUGGGAGAGGCUCCGAAGAGGCUCCCGCGCCGGGGGAAUUCAAUCAAUAAACCCCGAACCCACGGCCGCGCGUUUUAGGACUUUGAAGGCUCAACCAGCUCCGCUCGGUUCUCGAGCCCCCAGCACCCGCGGCGCACACUAACCUGAUCACGGAGGAGGCGGGACCUGCGCUCCGGCGGAUGAGCGGCAACAGCUGAAGCCAAUCGCUGCCGAGGGUCUCCGGGCAACAGCCAAUGGUGGCGGCGGCGGGGGGGGAAGGGACCAAUGGGCGGGCUGCGCAGCCGGCCAGGGAGGCUCAGCCAUUUGGUUGUGGUGCCGGAGACGGACCCCUUUAGAUUUCGGGGCGGCUGAGGAGCUCGGCGGCUGCUUGGUGGCUGAGCUAGGGGGGUGGGCAGAAUGGCGGGGGAAGGGAAGGUGACUGCGCCUGGAGGGCCGAGCCGCUCGGCCUCGCCAGCCCGCCGCCGCCUCAGCGUUUGGCCGGGGGCGGGGCCGCAGGUGCGUUACUCGAGGGGGAGGGGCGCGGCCGGAGGGGUCGGGGUCGGGGGUCCUCGCCCGACCGAGGGUUUCGUGGAGCCGCCCUGAGCCUGCCCGCGUCGCUGGACCGGGUUGGCUAAAGAGGUGGACGGCGUGAGGUCCGGGGCUGCCCGGCGGGCGACCGGGCGGAUGAAAGGCCUGGAAAGAGGGGGAGGGGUCAAGGGUGCAGUGGGGGGAGGGCCUGGUCAUUUUCUGGGUCCGGCGGGCGGAGCUGGUAGAGCGUGGCUGCUGCCCUCCACUUCUGUGGGUACCCACCCCGGGGCUGCGGCUUACUGCCCGCGCGCCCCUUCGCCUUGUCCUCGUCCAGCAGCGGCCAUCGCCGCCCCCCUAAUAAACAAAUAAAUGAAAGCAAGAUGCGUCCACCUUUGGAUGACUUUCCUCGCGGUUCUUGACCCUCUCCACGGAGGGGCAUUUCAGUUUGCUGUCAUAUCAGGUCAUCCUGGAAGGAGCGAUCACCAGGAGGCAUCCAGGAUCUUGUUCAGUCAAUAAAUGAAUGAAGACCAUGGAUUAAGGAUUGUUGCUGAAUAUAUUGAAUAUUAAAAAGUGAAAACGGAAGGUGCUAAUAACUCCUGGUUUUCUGGACCAAACAUAAUUUAUGGGCUUUGUAGACCUAGUGAAAGAAAACGGCGCACAGUUUAUUCUAAUCGUCCACCUGAAUCAUUUGGUUCAAUUUGGGUUGCCAAAGAGGCUCUAUUUGGAGCACUUUCUCCAGGUUUUACGGUUUGCUUGCUUUGCGUUUGGGGUUUUUUGUUUUCAUCACAUUAGUUGUAAGACCUAAAACCCUCCCCCCCCCCACCCCCCCCCGCCCUGGGUUACCCACUUCUUAUGGCCAGGCCUUGGACCUUGUCAUUCACUAAGCUCCCUGCCUGUGGCUGUUAAUAAAUCGUGGGGAUUGUUGUCAACAAGGACAGAUACAUCUUUACCCUUCCACACAACUGUUUUUCAGUGCUUAUAGUUUUACAGGUCUACACUCUCCCUUAUACACUCCAUGGUGGUUUUGGUGGAGAGAUACAUUGUGUUUAUUUUUCAGGCACAUGGGUUCAAGGGAGAGAUAAACCAGUAUGUAUGUUGCAAAUCUGAAGUAUUGUUACAUAACACCAAUACAGUUUCUUUCUUGAGCAUAUAAAGUUUAGGAGGAAAUAGAAAGUGACAGAAUGUAAACAAAACGCACAUACAGAAUGCUCACACUGGGGAAGAAACUGUAGUAACUUUAAUAUUGUAACCUGAUGGAUUGUAAACAUAAAAUCCUACAGCUAAGCAUUUUACUCGGCAAAUUUUUGUUUCAGAUAAAAUGAUCAGUGGAAUUUGAAAUGUGAUAAUGUUUACUCUGAGUAACUGGGAAAUGCAAAAUAAAAAUGGAAAGUCAUUGUUUUA